rnacentral:tRNA from 1 species
AGAGUCGUAGCGCAACUGGAUAGAGCACCGCCCUGUCACGGCGGAGGUUGCGGGUUCGAGCCCCGUCGGCUCUGC